CAGGCCUAACACAUGCAAGUCGAGCGGGUAGCAAUACCAGCGGCAAACGGGUGCGUAACGCGUAAGCAACCUGCCCACUACUGGGGGAUAGCCUUGCGAAAGCGGGGGUAAACCCGCAUGGUCCUUUUCUUUCACCUGGGAGGAUAGGUAAACAUUUAUGGGUAGUGGAGGGGCUUGCGUCUGAUUAGCUAGUUGGCGGGGUAGGGGCCCACCAAGGCGACGAUCAGUAGGGGUUCUGAGAGGAUUGGCCCCCACAUGGGUACUGAGACACGGACCCAACUCCUACGGGAGGCAGCAGUAGGGAAUAUUGGGCAAUGGAGGCAACUCUGACCCAGCCAUGCCGCGUGCAGGAUGAAGGCGCUCAGCGUUGUAAACUGCUUUUAACUGGGAAGAACGGCAGGGGUGUGCCCCUGUGUGACGGUACCAGUGGAAUAAGCACCGGCUAACUCCGUGCCAGCAGCCGCGGUAAU
rnacentral:rRNA from 1 species